rnacentral:rRNA from 1 species
AUUGAACGCUGGCGGCAGGCCUAACACAUGCAAGUCGAACGGUAACAGGAAGCAGCUUGCUGCUUCGCUGACGAGUGGCGGACGGGUGAGUAAUGUCUGGGAAGCUGCCUGAUGGAGGGGGAUAACUACUGGAAACGGUAGCUAAUACCGCAUAAUGUCGCAAGACCAAAGAGGGGGACCUUCGGGCCUCUUGCCAUCGGAUGUGCCCAGAUGGGAUUAGCUUGUUGGUGGGGUAACGGCUCACCAAGGCGACGAUCCCUAGCUGGUCUGAGAGGAUGACCAGCCACACUGGGACUGAGACACGGUCCAGACUCCUACGGGAGGCAGCAGUGGGGAAUAUUGCACAAUGGGCGCAAGCCUGAUGCAGCCAUGCCCCGUGUAUGAAGAAGGCCUUCGGGUUGUAAAGUACUUUCAGCGGGGAGGAAGGGAGUAAAGUUAAUACCUUUGCUCAUUGACGUUACCCGCAGAAGAAGCACCGGCUAACUCCGUG